rnacentral:rRNA from 1 species
AACGAACGCUGGCGGCGCGUCUUAAGCAUGCAAGUCGUACGGCAAGAGAGAAGCUUGCUUCUCUCCUAGAGUGGCGGACUGGUGAGGAACACGUGGGUAAUCUACCCUUGAGUUGGGAUAGCUGCUAGAAAUAGCAGAUAAUACCGAAUACACUCGGUCUUUCAUAAGAGAGAUUGAGGAAAGAGGCUACGGCCUCGCUUGAGGAUGAGCUUGCGUCUCAUUAGCUAGUUGGUGAGGUAAAGGCCCACCAAGGCAACGAUGGGUAUCCGGCCUGAGAGGGUGAUCGGACACAUUGGGACUGAGAUACGGCCCAAACUCCUACGGGAGGCAGCAGCUAAGAUAUUCCGCAAUGGACGAAAGUCUGACGGAGCGACGCCGCGUGGAUGAAGAAGGCUGAAAAGUUGUAAAAUCCUUUUGUUGAUGAAGAAUAAGGAUAAGAGGGAAUGCUUAUCUGAUGACGGUAAUCAGCGAAUAAGCCCCG